rnacentral:rRNA from 1 species
CGGGAAGCAAGCGGAUCCCCUUCGGGGGUGACGCUUGUGGAACGAGCGGCGGACGGGUGAGUAACACGUGGGCAACCUGCCUGUAAGACUGGGAUAACCCCGGGAAACCGGGGCUAAUACCGGAUAACACCGGACUCCACAUGGAGUCGGGUUGAAAGAUGGCUUCUGGCUAUCACUUACAGAUGGGCCCGCGGCGCAUUAGCUAGUUGGUGAGGUAACGGCUCACCAAGGCGACGAUGCGUAGCCGACCUGAGAGGGUGAUCGGCCACACUGGGACUGAGACACGGCCCAGACUCCUACGGGAGGCAGCAGUAGGGAAUCUUCCGCAAUGGACGAAAGUCUGACGGAGCAACGCCGCGUGAACGAUGAAGGUCUUCGGAUCGUAAAGUUCUGUUGUCAGGGAAGAACAAGUGCCGUGCGAAUAGAGCGGCACCUUGACGGUACCUGACGAGGAAGCCCCGGCUAACUACGUGCCAGCAGCCGCGGUAAUACGUAGGGGGCAAGCGUUGUCCGGAAUUAUUGGGCGUAAAGCGCGCGCAGGCGGUUCCUUAAGUCUGAUGUGAAAGCCCACGGCUCAACCGUGGAGGGUCAUUGGAAACUGGGGAACUUGAGUGCAGAAGAGGAGAGUGGAAUUCCACGUGUAGCGGUGAAAUGCGUAGAUAUGUGGAGGAACACCAGUGGCGAAGGCGAC